CAAUUCGUCACACCACACUCGGAAUGUUCUAGGAANCGCUAUUACGCAUCGUCAGUUCGACCCUCGCGGGUUCAUGGGGGGCGGGGUUCUAAAAACAAAAGGACAAACUGUUUCGAAGCAUACCGUGAUGUCUCUUGGGCUUCUUCGGCCAAUCUGUAUUGAAGAGAACCGCAGCGCAAAUUGCGAUAAGUAAAUGUGAGAUUGCAGAUUUUCAGUGAGAGUCGAUCGAAUCUUUUUGAACGCACCCGGCGCUCCUUGGUAUUCCGAGGAGCAUGCCUGUUUGAGUGUCAUNGUAAUUCUCAACCAUGUCUUGAUCAGAUCUUCGGGGCAUGGCUUGGAANUGUGGGGUUGCUGGCGGCGAAGUGCCGUCGGCUCUCCUGAAAUGCAUUAGCGACGGACAGCAAGUCUGACGUGCACGGCCUCGACGUGAUAAUGAUCAUCGUGGCUGGAGCGUCGGACGAGCGCGAUACGUCCCUUUGCUUCCAAUCCUUUGACUUGGGAAUAGGACUUUCGAGCGAAGCUUUAGUUACUAGUCGGUCGUGAGACCGACGAACGCAGGGCGGGAUCGAAGGUCGGAAGGCCCUCGUCUUUCUUGAUGACUUGACCUCAAAUCAGGUAGGACUACCCGCUGAACUUAAGCAUAUCAAUAAGCGGAGGAAAAGAAACUAACAAGGAUUCCCCUAGUAACUGCGAGUGAAGCGGGAUGAGCUCAAAUUUUGAAUCUGGCGU
rnacentral:rRNA from 1 species